rnacentral:rRNA from 1 species
GAUGAACGCUAGCGGCAGGCCUAACACAUGCAAGUCGAGGGAUAAGCCUUCGGGCUAAGACCGGCGCACGGGUGCGUAACGCGUAUACAAUCUGCCUUUUAUCCGGGGGAUAGCCCGAAGAAAUUUGGAUUAAUACCCUAUGGUAUAAGAGCACGGCAUCGUGCACUUAUUAAAGCUACGGCGGUAAAAGAUGAGUAUGCGUUCUAUUAGCUAGUUGGAGAGGUAACGGCUCCCCAAGGCGACGAUAGAUAGGGGUUCUGAGAGGGAUGUCCCCCACACUGGUACUGCGAUACGGACCAGACUCCUACGGGAGGCAGCAGUGAGGAAUAUUGGACAAUGGUCGGAAGACUGAUCCAGCCAUGCCGCGUGCAGGAUGACGGCCUUAUGGGUUGUAAACUGCUUUUGUAAGGGAAGAAUAAGGAGUACGUGUACUUUGAUGACGGUACCUUACGAAUAAGCAUCGGCUAACUCCGUG